CAGGGAAUAUUGGGCAAUGAGCGAAAGCUUGACCCAGCGACGCCGCGUGGGUGAUGAAGGCCUUCGGGUCUUAAAGCCCUUUUCUAAGGAAUGAAGGAUUAUAUCCUGAAUAAGAAUAUAAUCUUGACAGUACCUUAGGAAUAAGCUCCAGCCAACUACGUGCCAGCAGCUGCGGUAAUACGUAGGGAGCAAGCGUUAAUCGGAAUUACUGGGCGUAAAGCGUGCGCAGGCGGUUUUGUAAGUCUGAUGUGAAAUCCCCGGGCUCAACCUGGGAAUUGCAUUGGAGACUGCAAGGCUAGAAUCUGGCAGAGGGGGGUAGAAUUCCACGUGUAGCAGUGAAAUGCGUAGAUAUGUGGAGGAACACCGAUGGCGAAGGCAGCCCCCUGGGUCAAGAUUGACG
rnacentral:rRNA from 1 species